CGGUAAUUCCAGCUCCAAUAGCGUAUACUAAAGUUGUUGCAGUUAAAAAGCCCGUAGUUGGAUUUCUGCGGGGACGGAGCGGCCGGUCGCAACUUGCGACUCGAGCUAGCGCUUUCCCCGCAUCCUGCCGCGAACCGUGCUACCAUUAGCUUGGUGGCGCUGGGGAUCGGCUCGAUUACUUUGAGAAAAAUAGAGUGUUCAAAGCAGGCCACACGCCUUGAAUAAGUUAGCAUGGAAUAAUGACUAAGGACUUCGGUUCUAUUUUGUUGGUGUUCGGGACUGAAGUAAUGAUUGAUAGGGACAGUUGGGGCGGUCUGUAUUCCAAAGCGAGAGGUGAAAUUCUUAGACCUUCGGAAGACAAACAGCUGCGAAAGCGUUCCGCAAGGAUGUUCCCUUUGAUCAAGAACGAAAGUUGGGGGAUCGAAGACGAUCAGAUACCGUCGUAGUCUCAACUAUAAACUAUACCAGCUAGGGAUCGGUCAACGUUUAAUCAUUCGACUUGAUCGGCACCUUAUGAGAAAUCAAAGCAUCUGGGUUCCGGGGGGAGUAUGGUCGCAAGGCUGAAACUUAAAGGAAUUGACGGAAGGGCACCACCAGCCGUGGAGCCUGUGGCUUAAUUUGACUCAACACGGGAAAACUUACCAGGUCCAGACAUAGUAAGGAUUGACAGAUUGAUAGCUCUUUCUUGAUUCUGUGGGUGGUGGUGCAUGGCCGUUCUUAGUUGGUGGAGUGAUUUGUCUGGUUAAUUCCGUUAACGAACGAGACCCCAGCCUGCUAAAUAGCGCGGCUGAGCUUUGCUCGGUGCGAGCUUCUUAGAGGGACUAUGAUGCGCGAUAGCACAUGGAAGUUUGGGGCAAUAACAGGUCUGUGAUGCCCUUAGAUGUUCUGGGCCGCACACGGGCUACACUGGCGCCUGCAACGAGCAUAUCAGCUGGCCCGAGAGGGUCUUGGCUAAUCUUUCGAACCGGCGCCGUGCUUGGGAUUGACCAUUGCAAUUGUUGGUCAUGCAACGAGGAAUGCCUUGUAAACGCGAGUCAUCAGCUCGCAUUGAAUACGUCCCUGCCCUUUGUACACACCGCCC
rnacentral:rRNA from 1 species